GAGGGUAUAGCUCAGUGGUAGAGUAUAUGCCUAACAUGCAUGAGGUCUUAGGUUCAAUCCCCAGCACCACCA
rnacentral:tRNA from 1 species